rnacentral:rRNA from 1 species
UUAGUCGGUCUCGGAGCAAAGGAAGUGAAGCAUGUUAUUUAAUACGACAAUACGCGUAAAACCUUACCAGACCUUGCAUAUCUAUCGACCUUUAGCUGCAACACUUAAAUAGUUUUAACUUUAAAAUUUAAAAUUUAUAAACAAUAACAAUAGUGAAAGUGCCUUAAAUUUUUUAUUGUCUUGAUCUUUGAUCAAGACAAAUAAAAAAUGAUAAGGCAACUUUCGACUUUGGUUAAUUAUUUAUAAAUUUUAUAUUUUAAAGUAUACUAUGUUAAUUCUGCGACUAAAUCGCGUAGAUAUCGAAGUCUGGUAAGUUUCACGUAUUGUCAUUAUUAAUACAUCGUUCACUUGGCUGUCGUCA